rnacentral:rRNA from 1 species
CAGGGCCUAAGCACAUGCAAGUCGAACGCCGUAGCAAUACUGGAGAGGCAGACGGGUGCGUAACACGUGGGAACAUACCCUUUGGUUCGGAAUAACUCAGGGAAACUUGAGCUAAUACCGGAUAAGUCCGCGAGGAGAAAGAUUCAUCGCCGAAGGAUUGGCCCGCGUCUGAUUAGCUAGUUGGUGAGGUAACGGCUCACCAAGGCGACGAUCAGUAGCUGGUCUGAGAGGAUGAUCAGCCACACUGGGACUGAGACACGGCCCAGACUCCUACGGGAGGCAGCAGUGGGGAAUAUUGGACAAUGGGCGCAAGCCUGAUCCAGCCAUGCCGCGUGAGUGAUGAAGGCCUUAGGGUUGUAAAGCUCUUUUACCCGGGAUGAUAAUGACAGUACCGGGAGAAUAAGCUCCGGCUAACUCCGUGCCAGCAGCCGCGGUAAU